rnacentral:rRNA from 1 species
AGCAGUAGCCGCGGGAAUACAGAGGUGCCAAGCGUUAGGCGGAAUCACUGGGCUUAAAGCGUGUGUAGGCGGAUCCAUAAGUACCUUGUGAAAUCCCACGGCUUAACCGUGGAACUGCUCGGUAUACUGUGGAUCUUGAGCCAGCUAGGGGCUACCGGAACAAGUGGUGGAGCGGUGAAAUGCGUAGAUAUCACUUGGAACGCCAAUGGUGAAAACAGGUAGCUGGGGCUGUGCUGACGCUGAGAUACGAAAGCCAGGGGAGCGAACGGGAUUAGAUACCCCGGUAGUCCCUGUCUCUUAUAC